AUUUUGAAGACAAUUCUCAGUCGGAGUCACUAAGUCGGUGAGCACAAUUAAAAAUGUAAAAAAAAAAAAAAAAAAAAAAAAAGUGUGAUCCGUAACUUAUAGUUACAAUUGAACUUCCGGCUCAAAACAUUCUUCUUCCCUCUUCAGGGUUUCAAAAAGUGCUGCAGAUGAAUGGGCUUCAUCAGAAGAUGAUGAUGAAUCGGUUUUAAUCGAAAAGGUGGGUGCUGCAUUUUCUUCUUGUAGAGGUUGUUUUUCCUAAAUUUUGUUCUGGCCUUCAUUUUAAUAUGCUGUAUUUCAGAAACCGCAGAGGGUAAACCUAAGGAAAAUGAUUGCAUCUAAAAGAGGAGAAGGUACUGAGAAUCUUUAAGCCUAGUGUCUCUCCAUAGUUUGUGUUUAUUUUGGUAGUAAUCUUUCAUCCCUGCCUGCCCUGUAGCUUCUGCACUGCCUGAGAGAUCCUUAAGCGGUUCAGAAUCUGAGCCAGAGAGUGAGAAUAGAGUCCAGAGAAUCCCAUCCCUCCCAAAGGCUUUACCGUCCAGCAAAGCUCCACAGCGUCCAGUAGAUCCCUCUCCCAUUCCCUUCCUUUCCAAAGCACCCCAGAUGACUUCUACCCCUCUCCCAAGCUACAGAAAGAAAGAAGAUUCCAUUGAGGAUGAUGAUGACCAACAGGAGGAGGGAGAUGAUGAUGACGAUGAGGAGGAGGAUGAGGAGGAUGAGGAGGAGGAGGAGGAGGAGGAGGAGGAGGAGGAGGAGGAGGAGGAGGAGGAGGAGGAGGAGGAGGAGGAGGAAGAAGAGGACGUCUCGGAUGAAAAUGAUCAACCCGAAAAGAGUGGAGAGUCCCUUGAAGGCACGCCACCUCUUCCUGAAACAGAAGUCUCUAAAGAUAAGAAAAGAGAUUUCCUGUCCGAGCUGGGUCUAGAGAAGGGAGAGGAAGAGCAGGAUUCUUGGGACUCUGAGUCCCACUCUGGAAGCCCCAAUACGCCUCAUGAAGAGAAACAAAGCUUACCUAUUCAAGUUAAAGAAGAGAAGUCCAUCGUUGAAGAAGAUAUUAAAGAAAUUAGAAACUACAAUGCUGGUGAUAAUGGAGGCGAACAUGUCGAUAAAGAUGAUACGAUACAGAAAGAGACUGAGAAGUCAAAAUGGGAACCACUUCGUGUUUUGAGCCAACUCGAAGGAGAUAACGCACAAAAGACAGACUUAAUGGAAGAGCUUGGUCUGGGUGAUGUUGAUGAUAUUGAAGACUGGGACUCAGCCAGCACUACCAGUAAGAGAACCCUGCCUGGCCGCAGAAUGCCCUCCCCUGGACUUGAGGAGUUCCCAGAAUGCUCCACUCCAUCUGUCAAAGAGCAGGAUAAAGACAUUGCUCCAGCUGCACCCCUGACACCUCAGAGGAGCAUCAACUCCAACAAGACGCUGCCAGGUACACCCCCUCAACCCGGGCCCCAACCCCAGCCUCGAGCAAGGAAGAUGGUGCCUCAGAAACCAGAGAGUGAUGAAGGUAAGGCAUAUUAA
rnacentral:lncRNA from 1 species